UCUUGAGAACUGUUUGCUAAUCUUGUUCCCAGAAUGUACUGUCCCCAACUGCCAAACUGCAGAAUGUACUCCCUCACUCAGUUGCAGGCAAACCGCCCACUCGCCCUGACCCGUCAAUGAACUUCCCUCCCUGCCCUCUCCAAGGAAAGUAUAUAAGCUCUGCUUAAGCUGUUCUCAGGGCUCUUUGCUCUAUUCAAGUGAGCUCUGAGCCCCAGCAUGCUGGACCCCCAAUAAACCCUUUGCUGUUGCAUGAGACAGUCUCUUGGUAGUCUCUUCCUCCCACGCUCGCCCGACCUUUACAUAUGGAGGUUCCACUGAGAUCCGGCAGUGGCGGACGAAAGACCCCCAAUGGGCUCCUCUCGGGGUAAGUAAGGCGCCUCUUUCUGGUUUCUGGUUUCAGGUUUCAGGAUAGGGCUUGGCAAAAUUGCUGUCGGUGAAGAGCAUGAGCUCUCUCCGACAGUGGCUGACAGACGUGUCACAGAGCCACAGACCACGUCCCUGGGGGACGCCCCAGAGGACUCGGGAAAUCGAGGAACAAUAGUCUCCUCGACUCAGUGAUAUUUUGUUUCUGAUUCGGCAUUGCCAGCCUAUCGGGUUUUGCCGGCUACUCAGUCCUGGUCUCAGUGUUGGACGUCCAUUGCCUGUCUUUAUUGUCUUGUCUUGUCUGUGUCGUGUGUCAUUGCUUCACUGUUUGUGUAUCUUUCAUUAUGGGACAGAGCACUUCAAUGCCUCUGUCCCUGACCCUUGAUCACUGGACCAAAGUCCGCUUAAGGGCUCAGAAUCUUUCUUUUUCAGUAAAACGCCGGACCUGGCAGACUCUCUGUGCCUCAGAAUGGCCCACCUUUGGAGUCGGAUGGCCCCCAGGAGGAUCUUUCUACUCCCCACUAAUUCAAAAAGUCAGAGAUAUUGUCUUUCAGCCGGGGCUACAUAGCCAUCCAGAUCAACAGCCGUAUAUCUUAACUUGGCAAGACCUCUGCGAAUCUCUUCCUCCAUGGGUGAAGCCUGUCCUUGUCCCUGCCCCCGCUCCUAUUCCUUCCCCCAAGAUUCUAUCUCUCAAACCUUCUGCUCCUCCUCCUCCUCCACCCUCUGUUCUCCCUGAGUCUCUAGAUUUGACUCUACUGGACUCUCCUCCCCCUCCUUAUCUCCUGCCCUUGUCCCCCAACCCCCAACACCCUCUAAGUGAUUCCCCUGCUGCUGACUCAGCCUCUCCACCAUUGGAGGAAGCUGAGCCGGCCCAGCGCCCUCUAGAUGACUUCCCCAUGGCACACACAGCCCCUCCUCCCCUGGAGGAAGCUGGCCCGGCUAAAGAAACUCGCCAGCGGCGAAUGAAUAAAAACCCUGAAGCCCCCGUGAUACUCCCCCUCCGUCCUUAUGGGCCAAUGAUUGACAAUGGCCAUGGAGGAGAAAUGCAAGCCUACCAGUAUUGGCCUUUCUCCUCUUCAGACCUAUAUAACUGGAAAAAUAACAAUCCCCCUUUUU
rnacentral:lncRNA from 1 species